rnacentral:sRNA from 1 species
CGGCUGUGAACUGUGAAGGGAAUUUGUAGCGCCGCGCGCAGUGCAUUUUUUUCUGUAACAACAACAACAACACAGCUGGGCGCGCCAACAACAACAACAACAACAACAAUUGCUACAAAGAAGAGAGAGACACCCAGGAGAAACGAAAGAAUCUACAAAACAACAUAGCCACAUCUCUAAUAUAUAUACAUAUAUAUAUUUGAUAUUUUAUAAUAAAAGAGAUACAAAAGAGACAAGAUUGACUAAUACCCGUAAUAUUACAGUGGCUGGAAGAAAAGAAACACAAUUUACAAGAUACGCAACUUCUUCCGUUUCCGUUUUCCGUGUUACGGCCAUUGUUGUCUACGAGGCUCUCUCGUAAAGCUCACGUCGAGCAACACGCCUACACACACACACCCACACAUACAGAGACAGCAACUACUACAACUACUGCAUACACUCCCACACUCACUUCACUUUCACACCACUCUCCUCACACUUACACUCACAGCAGCAAAACAAAAGAAAUAUUAAAAAA